rnacentral:rRNA from 1 species
CACGUAGGGCGCAAGCGUUGUCCGGAAUUAUUGGGCGUAAAGAGCUCGUAGGCGGUCUGUUGCGUCCGCUGUGAAAACCCAGGGCUUAACCCUGGGCUGGCAGUGGAUACGGACAGACUAGAGGUAGGUAGGGGAGAAUGGAAUUCCCGGUGUAGCGGUGAAAUGCGCAGAUAUCGGGAGGAACACCGGUGGCGAAGGCGGUUCUCUGGGCCGUAACUGGACGCUGAGGAGCGAAAGCAUAGGGAGCGAACAGG